UACGAAGGGGGCUAGCGUUGCUCGGAAUCACUGGGCGUAAAGGGUGCGUAGGCGGGUUUUAAGUCAGGGGUGAAAUCCCGGAGCUCAACUCCGGAACUGCCUUUGAUACUGGCAAUCUAGAGACUGGAAGAGGUUAGUGGAAUUCCCAGUGUAGAGGUGAAAUUCGUAGAUAUUGGGAAGAACACCAGUGGCGAAGGCGGCUAACUGGUCCAGUACUGACGCUGAGGUGCGAAAGCGUGGGGAGCAAACAGG
rnacentral:rRNA from 1 species